UACGGGGGGGGCAAGCGUUGUUCGGAAUUACUGGGCGUAAAGGGCUCGUAGGUGGUCAACUAAGUCGGACGUGAAAUCCCUCGGCUUAACCGGGGAACUGCGUCCGAUACUGGAUGACUUGAGUUCGGGAGAGGAUGCGGAAUUCCAGGUGUAGCGGUGAAAUGCGUAGAUAUCUGGAGGAACACCGGUGGCGAAGGCGGGGUCUCUGGGCAGUGAA
rnacentral:rRNA from 1 species